GUUUUUUUUAGUGUUCAUUCUUAGUCGUCAUUGAAGUACAACUUGGUAAAAUACAAAACACAUCAAAUUAAGUUAUAUAAAUUAGCAAAACUUCAGUAACCCUGAAGGUAUGCUAGUUAUUGUAUUGCCUGAAAGAGUGUCAUUGCUAUUAAAAGCAGUAAAGAAUUCAAGUACUCUGGAAGAAAAGAAAAUACGUCAAUUAUUUGGCACAAAUCGGAGUUAAAGAUAAAGGAGAUUGUAUAUUUUAUUUGCUAAGAAUAGUUUUUUAAAAUGGCCUAGUUGUAAAAUUAAACUAUGCAGGGAGAGGACAAAAAAUUGCAAUAGAAAAAAUGUUGAUUGCAUAUGCUGCUAUUGAAACUGUGAAGUCAAAUAAGCAUGGCUUAUGCAGACAUGCUAUAGAGAUAGAGGAAGAAAAAAUGAUAAUCGUGGGCACCAAAUAUCAUAAGCUAAACAAUAUUCAAUAACAAGUAGCUCAGCCAAUAUCGAAGCUACUCUAUAAAUUUUAUAGUGAAUUUUUUUUAUUUAAAACUCAAUGUGUCAGUUUUUGGUUUAAGUUUGGU